GCCUGGGUGGCUUAGUUGGUUAAGCGUCUGACUUCAGCUCAGGUCAUGAUCUCACAGUUUGUGAGUUCGAGCCCCGCGUCAGGCU
rnacentral:tRNA from 1 species